AGGCUCUCGCAUCGAUGAAGAACGCAGCGAAAUGCGAUAAGUAAUGUGAAUUGCAGAAUUCAGUGAAUCAUCGAAUCUUUGAACGCACCUUGCACCCUUUGGUAUUCCGAAGGGUAUGCCUGUUUGAGUGUCUUGAAACCAUCAAACUCCCCUUUGGGUUUUCGACCUUGAGGGGGUUUGGAAUUGGGGGCUUGCUGCCGAGAGGCGGCUCCCCUUGAAUGCCUCGGACCGAUCCCAGCCUCAGUAGCCGGCGUUGUAUUGCCCUCGCUGCGAAAGGGUUUUUGUGGGAGUGCCGUCCUCGAAGCGCCUGUGGAGUGGCGCCUCUUUCGAUUGAACUUUCUGACCUCAAAUCAGGCAGGACUACCCGCUGA
rnacentral:misc_RNA from 1 species